UACAACGUGAACAAGACAGGCUGAUUAAGAAUGUACAUAAUGUAAAAAUAUGCAUAUUUGAUAGGUUAGCCAUAUGGACAAAUGCAUGUGGAAGCAGGAGUACGUAAUGAGAAAUUUGAAUAUCCACAGGCAGGUUAGUGUGGGAUGCAGGCAAGUUAGUGCAGGCUUCUCCCGGAAGUGCGGUUUGUGUGAGAAGACCCUGUGUGGAAAUGGCUGCUGGCUCCCCUUUAUAACCCAGUUAGCUAGCAGGAGCCAUUAGGAUGUAUCUUCUUUCUCAGAGCUUAUAUAUGUAUUCUUUGGCAUGUGAGGGGCACAGGGAUAAAUAGUGAGGAGAAACCUGGAUGCAAAUUUUCCAUCCCAGGUCCAUCCAGCAUGUGAGGACCAGAGGGGGUGCCUGGGGAAUUGGGUGAAGUGAGACCUGGCGGCAAAUCUGAAUUCUGACUUCUGCCAGGCUGUGCAAAGCAGAGGUGGUCCUGGGCAAGGGGUGGGGAGAAACCUCCACCCUGGCUCCAGGCAACGUGAGUAUCUCCCCAAGAGGUGUGGACAAGAGAGGAAAAAGUAAGAAGAAGUUUCCUGUGCGCAAACUCUGCUGAGGGAUGGAUGGAAUUUGAGCAACACUUCUCAGGCUCAGGAUGGCAGCUGAGCCAUCCUGCCACCUGUUGGGAGCUCAACGGCAGCUUAUCUCGGGAUGGGCAUCGAACUGAUGUUGCACAGAGCUCGCACUCUUGAGUGAGCACUUAACCAACUGAGCCACUCAGCUAGCCCUAGUUUAGGUUUUAAAGGUCCAUUCAAAUGAAAACAUCCAAGAACCAUGUGUUGAUGGACAUGAAAUUAAAUGAGGAUGUCUGAGCAGGUGACACAAUACAGAAGCCAGAUGAAUAGAAGUAAUGCCUGAAACCAAGGCAAUGGAAGAUAGAUCAAACAGCCAAAAGACAGUUUUAAAAAGGAGAAAGAGAAAGAUGCAAAUCAAGAUUAAUGUGGCCUCCUGUGCCUGUUGGUGUUGGGCAGGGGGACCUGGAGCCAGAAGAGCAGCCUGGGGUUGGGGACAGAUCAGGAGAGUGUGGUUGGUGCGGCAUCUAGGCAGGAGAGAAUUUCAGGGAGAAAUGUUGAUCACCCAUGAAGACCACUACAGAGAUGAAGACAAGUAGCCUCUGGAGGAUCUUUCUGCCUUGGAGUGAUUUUAGUUGAGCAACAGGUAUAGAUGAUGGCUCACACUGAACGAAUAAGAGAAUAGCUGGUGAACAAGUGAAAGAUGUAAGAGUAGGAUCAUUUCCAAAGAGGGAAAUCUGAUGGUGGGAAGAAAUAGAAGGACCAUACACUGAAAAGAUGAUGGAAACAAGAUGCUACAUUGGUUAGUAAGAGGUGAACAUACUGUAAACACAAGGGAAAGAACCAGUACUGAAUAGACAUGGGACGAGAAGAUGAUUGAUGAGCUGAAGUCCUUGUGGAGGGAAAGGCGGUAAGAGCCAAACCUGAAACUGGACUGUUGAGUCCAAAGAGAAAAUAGUGGAAUAAAGUAUGAGUUCGGUUUAUCUUCUAACAAAAGAAAACAAAUCAUAAAACAACCCUUUCCCCAACCAACAGUCUGUCCUUCCUAUUGGGGCACUGCUAUCAGACUCCAUGGGAAUAAAUUCAAGGCAGGGCACUUAAAAGGAAGCAAGAUGUUCGGAGAAAGCGAAAAUGGCCGGCGGUGAGGAGUCCUCCCUGAGUUCUCCCCUGGAAAUUGCCUCAAUUUGAACUGGAGCGCCGCAGACAAACCUCUACCCAGCACGCUGAGCAGCGAAGGGACUCCCGCAGGGGAGCCCGCCCCCACGGUGUUUGAGACUGGGGUCUCAGAGAGCUGAUCGAGAGUGUUCCCAUGGCUCGCUCCAUGUACCUCCGGACCGCACUAAGACAGAAUCCUCAGGCAGGGCGAGUAGGGGAACAGAGUGCAAGCAGAGGCGUGGUCCAGUCCGCGCCUGUGGCAGCGGAGCUGUAGGAAUCCGGGACACAGUGGCGGUGUUUGCAGCAUCAGGGAAAGCUCAGCCUCUGGGCCCACCGUUCCGCUGGGAGUGUGACUGGAGCCCCAGGGCGCGUGGACUCUGAGGCAGAAACCUCAAACCGGUUGAGCAGGAGAAGAGGGAAGCGAGAAGCGUGGAGACACAGCCUGCAUCCCGCACCCCGCAGCUGUGGAGACACGAGCUGCAGCGCCAGGGUGGGCUCCUGGAGCGCAGCA